UACGUAGGGGGCGAGCGUUGUCCGGAAUCAUUGGGCGUAAAGCGCGUGUAGGCGGUCCGGUAAGUCCGCUGUGAAAGUCGGGGGCUCAACCCUCGGAUGCCGAUCGAUACUGUCGGGCUAGAGUCCGGAAGAGGCGAGUGGAAUUCCUGGUGUAGCGGUGAAAUGCGCAGAUAUCAGGAGGAACACCAAUGGCGAAGGCAGCUCGCUGGGACGGUACUGACGCUGAGGCGCGAAAAGCAUGGGGGAGCGA
rnacentral:rRNA from 1 species